rnacentral:rRNA from 1 species
UACGGAGGGGGCUAGUGUUGUUCGGAAUUACUGGGCGUAAAGGGCUCGUAGGCGGCCAACUAAGUCCGACGUGAAAUCCCAAGGCUUAACCUUGGAACUGCGUCGGAUACUGGAUGGCUUGAAUUCGGGAGAGGGAUGCAGAAUUCCAGGUGUAGCGGUGAAAUGCGUAGAUAUCUGGAGGAAUACCGGUGGCGAAGGCGGCAUCCUGGACCGACAUUGACGCUGAGGAGCGAAAGCUAGGGGAGCAAACGGG